rnacentral:rRNA from 1 species
GACGAACGCUGGCGGCGUGCCUAACACAUGCAAGUCGAGCGAAUGAAAUUCCUUCGGGAAUGGAUUUAGCGGCGGACGGGUGAGUAACACGUGGGCAACCUGCCUCAUAGAGGGGAAUAGCCUUCCGAAAGGGAGAUUAAUACCGCAUAAGAUUGUAGUACCGCAUGGUACAGCAAUUAAAGGAGCAAUCCGCUAUGAGAUGGGCCCGCGGCGCAUUAGCUAGUUGGUGAGGUAACGGCUCACCAAGGCGACGAUGCGUAGCCGACCUGGGAUGGUGAUCGGCCACAUUGGGACUGAGACACGGCCCAGACUCCUACGGGAGGCAGCAGUGGGGAAUAUUGCACAAUGGGGGAAACCCUGAUGCAGCAACGCCGCGUGAGUGAUGACGGCCUUCGGGUUGUAAAGCUCUGUCUUCAGGGACGAUAAUGACGGUACCUGAGGAGGAAGCCACGGCUAACUACGUGCCAGCCGCCGCAGUAAUAC